ACUCAAAAUCCCAAUGAUCGGGGAGAUACUCGCUACACCCGAUGGAACCGCCCUCUGGGGAGAUACUCGCUACACCCAGUGAUGUCGACUCCGGAGCACAUCGCCCGAGGGGGAGCUACCACAACCUCGAGCAAGGACUAAAGUGAGUACGAUCAAUCCUACAGUUGAGGAUUCCAAGUUCAAUCCAUUCCUUAACUUUAAGGAAGACUAUGCUC
rnacentral:lncRNA from 1 species